rnacentral:rRNA from 1 species
CCUACGGGUGGCAGCAGUGGGGAAUAUUGCACAAUGGGCGCAAGCCUGAUGCAGCCAUGCCGCGUGUGUGAAGAAGGCCUUCGGGUUGUAAAGCACUUUCAGCGGGGAGGAAGGCGUUAAGGUUAAUAACCUUGUCGAUUGACGUUACCCGCGGAAGAAGCACCGGCUAACUCCGUGCCAGCAGCCGCGGUAAUACAGAGGGUGCAAGCGUUAAUCGGAAUUACUGGGCGUAAAGCGCACGCAGGCGGUCUGUCAAGUCGGAUGUGAAAUCCCCGGGCUCAACCUGGGAACUGCAUUCGAAACUGGCAGGCUAGAGUCUUGUAGAGGGGGGUGGAAUUGCAGGUGUAGCGGUGAAAUGCGCAGAUAUCUGGAGGAAUACCGGUGGCGAAUGCUGCCCCCUGGACAAAGACUGACGCUCAGGUGCGAAAGCGUGGGGAGCAGACAGGAUUAGAUACCCUGGUAGUC